GUCCCUUCGGGGACAUCCGAUAAAAUUGGAACGAUACAGAGAAGAUUAGCAUGGCCCCUGCACAAGGAUGACACGCACAAAUCAAGAAAUGGUCCAAUUUUUU
rnacentral:snRNA from 2 species